UACGUAGGGUGCAAGCGUUAAUCGGAAUUACUGGGCGUAAAGCGUGCGCAGGCGGUGAUGCAAGACAGAUGUGAAAUCCCCGGGCUCAACCUGGGAACUGCAUUUGUGACUGUAAGACUAGAGUGCGGCAGAGGGGGGUAGAAUUCCACGUGUAGCAGUGAAAUGCGUAGAUAUGUGGAGGAAUACCGAUGGCGAAGGCAGCCCCCUGGGUCGACACUGACGCUCAUGCACGAAAGCGUGGGGAGCAAACAGG
rnacentral:rRNA from 1 species